rnacentral:snoRNA from 1 species
AUGUAAUCAAUUUAGGCCAUUUAAAAGUUAGAGUGGCUAAACAUUCGCUAUAUUAAAAUCAUUCAUGUGUCCCCAGACCUAGUUCUUUCCCUAGGUUUGGUUUUAUAAAUGCUUGUGAUAAAC